GAUGAACGCUGGCGGCGUGCCUAAUACAUGCAAGUCGAGCGAACAGACGAGGAGCUUGCUCCUCUGACGUUAGCGGCGGACGGGUGAGUAACACGUGGAUAACCUACCUAUAAGACUGGGAUAACUUCGGGAAACCGGAGCUAAUACCGGAUAAUAUAUUGAACCGCAUGGUUCAAUAGUGAAAGACGGUUGUGCCGUCACUUAUAGAUGGAUCCGCGCCGCAUUAGCUAGUUGGUAAGGUAACGGCUUACCAAGGCAACGAUGCGUAGCCGACCUGAGAGGGUGAUCGGCCACACUGGAACUGAGACACGGUCCAGACUCCUACGGGAGGCAGCAGUAGGGAAUCUUCCGCAAUGGGCGAAAGCUUGACGGAGCAACGCCGCGUGAGUGAUGAAGGUCUUCGGAUCGUAAAACUCUGUUAUUAGGGAAGAACAAAUGUGUAAGUAACUAUGCACGUCUUGACGGUAACUAAUCAGAAAGCCACGGCUAACUACGUG
rnacentral:rRNA from 1 species